rnacentral:lncRNA from 1 species
GCUAGAAACUAGGUUGAUUCAAAGUCUUUUGUGGACACUUCCUUUAAGAACAGUAUUGAUAGACUGCCUUUAUGCAAAUCCCUUUGGAAGAAAGGAUGGAGAGGAAGAAGCCGGAAACAGAUCAGAGGCAGGAAAUACCAAAUUGCAUGUUUAUAAACGCUGUGAAGGAAUAUGACAAGAGGGGAUAAUGCUAGACUGGCGGCCAUGGAAACUGAAGUCUUCUGUUUGUUCACAGGACAGCUCAUAGCCCUGAAAGUCCCAGUUCAAGCUUCCACAAUCAUCCUACACAAGAGCACUGCUUCUCACAGGACUGCCUCAGCCUGGCAGGAUUCAGUCUCCUGCUCUGAGGGAAAAACAGGAAGUCAAGGAUCAAGACCGCGUGCUCAACUGAGAUCAGAAAGGAGGACAUACAGUGACUUGGCCAAAUCACUGGAGAUUCACACAGCAGAGCUCAGACGAGUGCUAUCAGCACAGCUGAGGAAGACAAGAGUUAGGGUGCAAGGAUCCUGAAAGAGAAACAUUGGUUGUGUUUUUAUUCCUUGGGUAUAAGAAUCCUGAAACAGAAAGGCAUCUGAACCUUGGAGGCAUGGGGUUCAUCUCAUCCUCAUCCAGCCUUUCACCAGAAACGUGAGGAGACUCAUACCACUUGAGGUAGUGUGGAUGUGUGGCACAGUUUUGGAGAGGGCUAUUCCCCUACCUUUACAUGGAAUCCAGUAACUCUCUGAAAACAUAGCAAUGGCAAAAGUCCUUUUCGAGACUGCAAGGAAAACAAACAACUACCAAGAGAAGUCCAAGCAUCAGGGAAAGAAUGAAGUGGUGUGGAGACCGUAGCCAAUAGCUGCUUUAUGAGCACAUUUGUGGCUACCCUUGGGGACCCAAGAAAUAACCGGAAAGAGUCAAACUGUUCUUCGAAUAGUUUUUGGAUUGCCAACUGAGCUUUCUUUGAAAGCAAAGCUGUGUCAAUACAAGACCACCAGGCACGUGGAGUUUAUACAGGUGACCAUGUUCUGCUUAAAUUCAGCAUCUUCUCUCAGUUCAAAUUUAAGAAAGGAGAUACCACACCACCUACCGACAUAUCCCAUUCUGGAAGAGUAUACAAACUAAAGAUAGAAAACUUCUCAAAUCUACCUGGAAGCUUGCAUAUUCAAAGGAACUAUUUGUUGGAGUGCCAGAUUAUUUAAGGGCCUUUGCAUGUUUCAAGUCCUCUUCUUAAAAAAAGCUGGGGGUGCAUUUCUACAAAGACAGACAGUCUCCAACCCUUUAUGGAGCUUUUGAUCUAAAAGAGAGAGAAUGCUUCCAACACUAUAAAGGACACCCUUAGUCAAAUCUUCUACGAAGAGGAUCCCAUUUUACUCACGCAACUGCUCUAGAUGCUCAUCACUGUUGGACUCAGGCAUGGCCGUGAUGGUCACCAAGGGACACGGAUUCCCUCCCAGCGUCUGGCAGAGAACAUCUUGCCGGAAGUAGACCUCUUUGAGGUUGACACUCUUUUCCAGGAUGUCAAGAUGAGUCUGGAGCAGAAAUAAAGCAGGAGAAACUCAGUGAGACGGAGCAGGAAGCAUCAUUCCUGCAUGUUUUGGCAUAACAGAAGAUCUGUUUUCAAGUUGCACUGAAAGCAAGAAGGAGGAGGGCAGGGGCAUAAAGCCCUCUUCCUAUCGCUGUGACAUACGAGGAAAUCACAGAAAAUGGAGACUCGGAAGGGUCAGGGGAUGGGGUGGGGGAGGAUCAUGAGAAAUGUGUUAAUGGCUACAAUGUACGUCAUUUGGGUGAUGGAUACCCUAAAAGUGCUGGCUUGACCUUUGCUCAAUCUAUGCAUGUAAGAAAACUUCACAUGUACCCAUAAAUUUGUACAAAUAAAA